UUCCCAGGGCCGCUGCUGCCCGUCCUC
rnacentral:piRNA from 1 species